GCCAAUCUCUUGGAUGACUACACCAAACUAUUCCAUGAAAGAGCAAUUUGUGUGACCUGUCACCCCUGGAUCAUCCCAGGGAAUGAAUAAAGCCAGAGACGUGUCCUCUUCCUGUAUCUAGACCGGCUGGUGGCACCUCUGCUCCUCCCAUUCCACGCCAGCGUCUGGACAGUCAGGAAGGAAUUCCUCACCAUGUACCUUAGUGUGGAUCCAUCCUUCACACCCUUGGCCUCUCUGCCUUAUGAGCCUCACCUCUGCGGCCACUGGAAUUUGAUCUCAUCUUCAGUCUCAAGUGAGGAGACGGAGCUCCACGCUUUCAGCCCUCUCCCAGAUGGCAUUCUCUGGAUCAGACUCCUUCUGGAGAAAGAAAGAAUAUGAAACCAAGCAAUUAGAAGCCAAACAAGUCCUUACAGUACCCUUUAUACCUACCUAAUGGCCUCAAUAGUUUAUGAAGGCAGUGCACCAUACCAUGAGGAGGGAGAAAGGCCUGAAUUCAAUUGAGGAGUUUGUAUUCAUUAGCCUUGCAAGUUACUCAACAUCUUCUAUUUAUGUAUUAGCAUGGUGGGUAUGAGAUGGUAGGUUGUGAAAAUUAGCGCUCUAUAAGUGGUAGAUAUUUUUUUAUUAUGAACUAUCCAGGUCGGUGCACAAGCAGGCACGGGUUCCUAGAAUACAGAGCCAUAAGCAAGGCUGUAAAAUCGAGGACAUUGUGGGCUAAGGAGAUCCGUAUAUGGAAAGGACGAAAAAUGUCACAGACUCUCCUUAGCUCAUUCUCCCCUCCCUUGACUUCCUGUCUCACCACCGAACAGAUGAGGUCUGGCUACCGUGACAGGUUUCAUUGACUUCUCGUUCUAAAUAAUCUUUCGUUGUAUCGCU